UACGUAGGGGCCUAGCGUUGUCCGGAUUUAUUGGGCGUAAAGAGCUCGUAGGCGGUUUGGUGAGUCGGGUGUGAAAUCUCCACGCUCAACGUGGAGGGGCCACCCGAUACUGCCAUGACUAGAGUCCGGUAGGGGAGUGUGGAAUUCCCGGUGUAGCGGUGAAAUGCGUAGAUAUCUGGAGGAACACCGGUGGCGAAGGCGGCAUCCUGGACCAAUUCUGACGCUGAGUGAGCGAAAGCCAGGGGAGCAAACGGG
rnacentral:rRNA from 1 species